rnacentral:rRNA from 1 species
AUACAUGCAAGUCGAGCGAACAGAUAAGGAGCUUGCUCCUUUGACGUUAGCGGCGGACGGGUGAGUAACACGUGGAUAACCUACCUAUAAGACUGGGAUAACUUCGGGAAACCGGAGCUAAUACCGGAUAACAUAUUGAACCGCAUGGUUCAAUAGUGAAAGGCGGCUUUGCUGUCACUUAUAGAUGGAUCCGCGCCGUAUUAGCUAGUUGGUAAGGUAACGGCUUACCAAGGCAACGAUACGUAGCCGACCUGAGAGGGUGAUCGGCCACACUGGAACUGAGACACGGUCCAGACUCCUACGGGAGGCAGCAGUAGGGAAUCUUCCGCAAUGGGCGAAAGCCUGACGGAGCAACGCCGCGUGAGUGAUGAAGGUCUUCGGAUCGUAAAACUCUGUUAUCAGGGAAGAACAAAUGUGUAAGUAACUGUGCACAUCUUGACGGUAC